AAUUGUGUGUGUAUAUAUAGCAGAGCCUUCUGUCAUGUCCACGGAAAAUUUUAGAAUGUACCAGAUAUAUAGCAUUUCCAGCCAAUCAAAUAAUUUUUUUUUAAAUUAAUUGUUAUAUCAUAAUUAUAAAAAAAAUAUUUUUAUUGUAUAUUUUUUUAAAAAAUAUGAAUAACUUAUUAUUAUUAAUACCGUGCAAGUAUGAUACAGAAA
rnacentral:lncRNA from 1 species